AUUGAACGCUGGCGGCAGGCUUAACACAUGCAAGUCGAACGCCCCGCAAGGGGAGUGGCAGACGGGUGAGUAACGCGUGGGAAUCUACCCAUCCCUACGGAACAACCCCGGGAAACUGGAGCUAAUACCGUAUACGCCCUUAGGGGGAAAGAUUUAUCGGGGAUGGAUGAGCCCGCGUUGGAUUAGCUAGUUGGUGGGGUAAAGGCCUACCAAGGCGACGAUCCAUAGCUGGUCUGAGAGGAUGAUCAGCCACAUUGGGACUGAGACACGGCCCAAACUCCUACGGGAGGCAGCAGUGGGGAAUAUUGGACAAUGGGCGCAAGCCUGAUCCAGCCAUGCCGCGUGAGUGAUGAAGGCCUUAGGGUUGUAAAGCUCUUUCACCGAUGAAGAUAAUGACGGUAGUCGGAGAAGAAGCCCCGGCUAACUUCGUGCCAGCCGCCGCCGUAAUAC
rnacentral:rRNA from 1 species